rnacentral:rRNA from 1 species
UACUUUGGUGGCGACCGGCGCACGGGUGCGUAACGCGUAUGCAACCUACCUUUAACAGGGGCAUAACACUGAGAAGUUGGUACUAAUUCCCCAUAACAUUCGAGAAGGCAUCUUCUUGGGUUAAAAACUCCGGUGGUUAAAGAUGGGCAUGCGUUGUAUUAGCUAGUUGGUGAGGUAACGGCUCACCAAGGCAACGAUACAUAGGGGGACUGAGAGGUUAACCCCCCACAUUGGUACUGAGACACGGACCAA